UACGUAGGGUGCAAGCGUUGUCCGGAAUUAUUGGGCGUAAAGAGCUCGUAGGCGGUUUGUCGCGUCGGCUGUGAAAACCUGGGGCUCAACCCCGGGCUUGCAGCCGAUACGGGCAAACUAGAAUUCGGUAGGGGAGACUGGAAUUCCUGGUGUAGCGGUGAAAUGCGCAGAUAUCAGGAGGAACACCGGUGGCGAAGGCGGGUCUCUGGGCCGAUAUUGACGCUGAGGAGCGAAAGCGUGGGGAGCGAACAGG
rnacentral:rRNA from 1 species